rnacentral:rRNA from 1 species
UACAGAGGGUGCGAGCGUUGUCCGGAAUCACUGGGCGUAAAGGGCGCGUAGGCGGCCAUUCAAGUCGGGGGUGAAAGCCCAGGGCUCAACCCUGGAAUUGCCUUCGAUACUGUUUGGCUAGAGACCGGAAGAGGUAAGUGGAACUGCGAGUGUAGAGGUGAAAUUCGUAGAUAUUCGCAAGAACACCAGUGGCGAAGGCGGCUUACUGGUCCGGUUCUGACGCUGAGGCGCGAAAGCGUGGGGAGCAAACAGG